UGUGUGUGUGUGUGUGUUAAACUAAGGGGCCUUAAUUACUAAGAAAAACGACGACAUGUACAGUUACUCUGAAUUCAGAGAUACAAAUUUCAAGUAUCCAAAUGUAUACACACACACACACACACACACAGCUGAAGGGAAGAGGUGUUCUUGGCUCUGCAAAGGAGCCGGUGAAUUUCUGGAGUGAAGUCGCAGGCUUCUACUGAAGUCCGCUCUCCGAGGUGGCACAGAAAAGAUCCUUCAGAAAUGGAGAAGAAAAAAAGAGAUCCUGAGAUCAUGUCGACCUUGAAUGAGAGAGAUUAAAAGAAGGUGACAUCAUUGGUUGCCAGUUUUCCAGGAACUGUUGCCAAGCAAUUGUCAUAAUUGUGACAAAGCAAUUAGGGGUGUGAAUGAGUUUGGUUGGUUAGAGAAUGGAGCAACAACUCUGUUUCAAAGAAUUAGAAGGCGCAUCCUUCUGUCUGCAAUGCAUGACCAGGCGGGUUGGCGGUCCCACCUUGGCAUCCACGGGACAGUUGCUAAUGGAAGAGGCAGACGGGACCUCUUAAAAAAAACUGGACCGCACUUUGCUGGAGGACGUUUCCAAAUUCACUCCAAAUAAUUGCCUUUUCCUGCUCCCUUCUCCGUAAGAGCAAGCUCCACGGCUUCCUGAUUUUGGCUCCUUUUCUUGUUUUUCCCAAUUCUCAGCAGGUUAAAAAGGCAAAGUAAAUAGUGCCAAGAAUACAAUAAAGUCAAACAGAUGCU